rnacentral:rRNA from 1 species
AAAGUCGUAACAAGGUUUCCGUAGGUGAACCUGCGGAGGAUCAUUA